rnacentral:rRNA from 1 species
CCAGUCUACUAUGACUAUAGCUUUUAUAGUCGGCACAUGUGGUAGCUUGCUACCAGAUGACGAGCGGCGGACGGGUGAGUAAUGCUUAGGAAUCUACCUAGUAGUGGGGGAUAGCUCGGGGAAACUCGAAUUAAUACCGCAUACGUCCUACGGGAGAAAGCAGGGGAUCUUUGGACCUUGCGCUAUUAGAUGAGCCUAAGUCGGAUUAGCUAGUUGGUGGGGUAAAGGCCUACCAAGGCGACGAUCUGUAGCUGGUCUGAGAGGAUGAUCAGCCACACCGGGACUGAGACACGGCCCGGACUCCUACGGGAGGCAGCAGUGGGGAAUAUUGGACAAUGGGGGGAACCCUGAUCCAGCCAUGCCGCGGGUGUGAAGAAGGCCUUGGUGUAAGCACUUUAAGCAAUGAGAGAAGUUAUGGUUAAUACCAUAAUGGAUGACAUAGCUGCAGAAUAAGCACGGCUACUCUGUGCAGCAGCCGCGUAAUACAGAGGGUGCGAGCGUAAUCGGAAUUACUGGGCGUAAAGCGAGCGUAGGUGGCUUAAUAAGUCAGAUGUGAAAUCCCCGGGCUUAACUGGGAACUGCAUCUGAAACUGUCGGCUAGAGUAGGUGAGAGGGAAGUAGAAUUCCAGGUGUAGCGGUGAAAUGCGUAGAGAUCUGGAGGAAUACCGAUGGCGAAGGCAGCUUCCUGGCAUCAUACUGACACUGAGGUUCGAAAGCGUGGGUAGCAAACAGGAUUAGAUACCCUGGUAGUCCACGCCGUAAACGAUGUCUACUAGUCGUUGGGUCCCUUGAGGACUUAGUGACGCAGCUAACGCAAUAAGUAGACCGCCUGGGGAGUACGGCCGCAAGGUUAAAACUCAAAUGAAUUGACGGGGGCCCGCACAAGCGGUGGAGCAUGUGGUUUAAUUCGAUGCAACGCGAAGAACCUUACCUGGUCUUGACAUACACAGAAUCUGUAGAGAUACGAGAGUGCCUUCAGGAAGUGAAAUACAGGUGCUGCAUGGCUGUCGUCAGCUCGUGUCGUGAAUGUUGGAUAGUCCCGCAACGAGCGCAACCCUUUUCCUUAGUUACCAGCACUUCGGGUGGGAACUCUAAGGAUACUGCCAGUGACAAACUGGAGGAAGGCGGGGACGACGUCAAGUCAUCAUGGCCCUUACGACCAGGGCUACACACGUGCUACAAUGGUAGGUACAGAGGGCAGCUACACAGCGAUGUGAUGCGAAUCUCAAAAAGCCUAUCGUAGUCCAGAUUGGAGUCUGCAACUCGACUCCAUGAAGUAGGAAUCGCUAGUAAUCGCGGAUCAGAAUGCCGCGGUGAAUACGUUCCCGGGCCUUGUACACACCGCCCGUCACACCAUGGGAGUUGAUUGCACCAGAAGUGGAUAGCCGAACUAACAGAGUACGCCAUGCAUAGUUGAC